rnacentral:rRNA from 1 species
CCUACGGGUGGCAGCAGUGGGGAAUCUUGCACAAUGGGGGAAACCCUGAUGCAGCGACGCCGCGUGAGUGAAGAAGUAAUUCGUUAUGUAACGCUCUAUCAGUCGGGAAGAAAAUGACGGUACCUGAGUAAGAAGCCCCGGCUAACUACGUCGCAGCAGCCGCGGUAAUACGUAGGGUGCAAGCGUUAUCCAGAUUCACUGGGGGUAAAGGGAGCGUAGACGGCAGUGCAAGUCUGGAGUGAAAGGUGUGGGCUCAACCCCCGGACUGCUCUGGAAACUGUACGGCUGGAGUGCAGGAGAGGUAAGUGGAAUUCCUAGUGUAGCGGUGAAAUGCGUAGAUAUUAGGAGGAA